rnacentral:rRNA from 1 species
UACAGAGGGUGCGAGCGUUAUUCGGAAUUACUGGGCGUAAAGCGUGCGUAGACGGCUAUCUAAGUCGGGUGUGAAAGCCCCGGGCUCAACCUGGGAAUUGCAUUCGAGACUGAAUAGCUAGGGUGCGGUAGAGGGAAGCGGAAUUUCCGGUGUAGCGGUGAAAUGCGUAGAUAUCGGGAAGAACACCCGUGGCGAAGGCGGUUCUCUGGGCAUUACCUGACGCUGAGGAGCGAAAGUGUGGGGAGCGAACAGG